AGGCCAGGCCAGUAGGACCUGCAGGCACCACGCCUUGGCAGGUGCCAGGCCACAGGAUGAUCAUGGCAUGGUGGGCAGCUCAGAGAAUGCCAGAACCGGAGAGGUGAGAGGAAGAAGUUUCCAGAACUCACUCCGGAAGAGACAUGACUCAGCUGAGCCAGAAGGCGCUGGUUCCACAGGAAUGCAUGUGCACGCUGGGCACGCCAGGCAGCAUCAGAUGGUCCACGAACAUCCAGAAGAAGGGCCGGGGGCUGCCCGAGGGCCGUGCGUACUGCAGGAGCCGGUGGAACUGGAACAGCUCCGCCCCUCCAGCAGCAAUAGAGGCCCGAGGCCGUGGGACUCGCUGUGCCAGAGCCACAGAGGCGCAAGGACCCCCCUCCCCGGCAGGCCGGGCGUUGGCGACCCGAGUGAGCCAGGAGCUAAUGGCAGAGCGCCUGCCUGGUGCAAAUACCGCCUUCUGGAGGAAGCUCCAAAGGACACAUGAGCUGCAGAGAUGUGGGCAAGCUGGGGGCUGCACGGGGCCAGUGGGGAGCCCGUGGUGACGGGAUCGCUCACUCUCAUGCUCAUGAUGAGGGUGUGUGGGUAACAGCUAGGUCAGAACUCAUGGAG